UAUGAACGCUGGCGGCGUGCCUAAUACAUGCAAGUCGAGCGAACAGAUGAGGAGCUUGCUCCUCUGACGUUAGCGGCGGACGGGUGAGUAACACGUGGAUAACCUACCUAUAAGACUGGGAUAACUUCGGGAAACCGGAGCUAAUACCGGAUAAUAUAUUGAACCGCAUGGUUCAAUAGUGAAAGACGGUUUUGCUGUCACUUAUAGAUGGAUCCGCGCCGCAUUAGCUAGUUGGUAAGGUAACGGCUUACCAAGGCAACGAUGCGUAGCCGACCUGAGAGGGUGAUCGGCCACACUGGAACUGAGACACGGUCCAGACUCCUACGGGAGGCAGCAGUAGGGAAUCUUCCGCAAUGGGCGAAAGCUUGACGGAGCAACGCCGCGUGAGUGAUGAAGGUCUUCGGAUCGUAAAACUCUGUUAUUAGGGAAGAACAAAUGUGUAAGUAACUAUGCACGUCUUGACGGUACCUAAUCAGAAAGCCACGGCUAACUACGUG
rnacentral:rRNA from 1 species